rnacentral:lncRNA from 1 species
UCCGCCAAAGAACCCUUCUCCUUCUGCUUGUAUAAAGCUACCUAUAGCAGAAGAGGCUGAUCGGCUGAGCUCAUCGCACAAAAGAUAUAUAAGAACCACCAAUUGGUAACCACAAGCAAGCAAUAUAUAGAGAGUCAACCUUGCAGCGGCGAUGAAGGUUCGCGUUUAAUUUUUCUUGAUCCCUCCAUCGAAUCCUCUUCCUCUAUGGACUUCUCACUGUUUUUUCUGCAUCUCAUCGUCAGAUAGUGCUUAAGGUGGCGAUCACCUGCAAGAAGUGCAAAACCUGCGUCCUUGGGAUCACCUCGAAAGUUAAUGGUAAGCCAUGGCCAAUCUUUAUUUCUGUGUUGCCAUUCAAGGGUGUUCGAUGUCUGGCUGAUCGACAUGCUAGCUGUGUGAUGAAUUCUGAAUGAUAACGGUGCCUGCUACAGGGAUCAAGUCCCUGACAUACGACGACGAGAAGAGCACUCUUACGGUGGUCGGAGACGUGGACGUGGUGGUCAUCGUGGACGCGCUGCGCAAGGCGAAGCAUCCGGCGGAGGUGGUGUCGGUGACCGACGAGAAGAAGGAGGCCGAGGAGAAGAAGAAGAAGGAGGAGGAAGAGAAGAAGAAGAAGGAAAAAGAGGAAGAGGAGAAGAAGAAAAGGUGCUGCCCCAAGCCGCCGUGCAAGCCGUGCCCUCCGCCUCCUUGCAGUCCGUGCCCUCCGCCUCCUUGCACGCCGUGCCCUCCUCCGCCGUGCCCUCUGCCACCGUGCCCACCGCCGUACCUCAAGCCGUGCUACAUCCCCAUCGAAGACGAGUAUCCCGGGCCCUGCACCAUCGUCUGAGACUGAGAGAGCAACACCGUGGCCAUCCAUACCAGUUCCUCGCUGAUGGAAAAGCCACCACGCACUCUUCCAGAAGAAGGCAUUUGAGUUUCAGCUGUAGCGCCAUGCGUCAAUCAUCGGUUUGGAAGAAAUGGUUUCCAAUUUUCCAUGCACAUUCUCUUUCUGUCCUUCUCGUUCUAUGGUUCUAGCGUGCUCUUUCUCCAUCUACCAUAUUAUUGUAAAUUGAUAGGUGUCUGAAUAAUAUGAUAUAACAGACACGUUCAGGUACAUACCAUGUGUAUAGCUCUGGAAUAAGCUUCCCAUCGAACUCCAAGCAUCCAAAGUUGUUUAUGUUACAUUUAUAGGAUCUAGCUUUUCACCAUUAAUCGUUAGAACACAUAGAUCAAGCUCUAUUGCCUUCGAUCAUAGAUACGCUAAAAUCCACGUGUCCGCGUGAUUGCGGGCUUCGUCCUUGAGCCGUAGAUGUACAAUGGGUCUGAGGCUUCGGACAACUACACCAAGGCCGGUGGUGGCAGCAGUAAGGGUGCAGAGGCGAUAGCCUUUACCUUACUAACUGUGGAUAGGAUCUUGUUUAGGUUUAUAGGGUCGAGGAGGUAGUACCGAACAUUGAUUUGUGUGUUACCUCGUCCCCGUUUUAUGUAUGCACUAUAAAGGGGGUCCGCAACCAGCUGUCGCGCUUCCUGAUUAUGACGUGAAAGAUAGAGUCAGGCUUGGUUAGUUGAUUGAGACCAACUUGAAAUUAACCCAAGAUUCUCUCCCAUUGAUCUCAUGCUUAUUCACUUAUACUUAGAACUCAAUUUCUUAAUUGCUUUAUUUUUAGCUUACAAUUUCUACUCCUUAGAUUAGUACAUCAAGAUCAAAGCUUUACAACAACUAGUUACAUGCCAGUGAACUAAAUGACUAAUGCACUUUCCUACAUCAAAGCAGAGAAAUUAUUUUUGAGGAAGAUGGCUGCAUCAUGACUCCUUAAUCUAGAACCAUAGGUACUUCAUCAAACCUAUGGCUAGGUAUUUUCUAAACAUGUUGGGUGAAAGUCCUUUAGUGAGCUGAUUUGCAAGUAUUUGCUCUAACUUUGUAUAAUUAAAUACAAUUGUUUGAUCUUAAUGUUUCUUCUUUAUAAAUUAAUACUUGAUGCCAAUAUGUUUUGCAGUAGCACUUGACUUGUUAUAGGACUAAAAUAUUUUCGAUGUAUUAUCAUAGUAUAUCUUCACUAGUUUUGUUAUGUUGUCUACCAUUUUUAAACUAGAUAUGAACUUUUUAAGCCACAACCUUCCUCGUUGCCUCAUGACAUGCAAAAAAACUUAACAUACAUUGUCAUUGAUCGAUGUAGUGAUAGUUUGUUUUGAGAUUUUCCAUGAUAUAGAUCCUCGUGUGAGUGUGGAUAUAUAACAUGACAUGCACUUUCUAUCUUCUUCACAUCACGCAUAAUAUGAAUCUAAUUAAACAUAAUCUCAAUGCUACUUGACUUUCUAUAUGUUAAUAUAAGGUCUUGUGUAUCCUUUAAAUAUUGCAAGACUUUCUUAACGACUUUCUAGUAUUCUAUCUCUAUUUUUUUAAACAAUCUACUUAGCAUUCUCGAUUAUGAAUACCAAGUCCGAAUAAGGACAUAUUUGAGCAUAUAUCAUGUUUUCGAUAGUUGAAGCGUAUUAAACCAAUUUCAUUUGAUUGAUCUCAUAUUGGUUCUUGGUGACAUGAUCACUCUCCAACUUGUCCUUUUUAACUACUGGAGGAGGUGUCCGGUUACAUGCAUGCAUACAAAAUUUCUUACAAAAUGUUUGUAUCUAUGCCUUUUGCGAUAUAUGUAGUACCCUUCUCUAUCUUGGUGAAUCUCAAUUCUAAAUACAUAAUGUUAGAUACCCGUCUCUUGUAAUGGGCCUGGCCCAGUUUUUUGGUCUAUUAAUACACUGUCCAACCCUAUUCUAGGGUUAUGGUUUUUCCCAUUCAACAUGGUAACAGAGCCACUGUAGUUUUUUUCUCCUCUCCUCUCCAGCUGCCACCCUUCAGGCGCCGCCACCCUCCAGGCGCCGCCCCCAGCCUGUCGCGCCGCCAGGGCCGCGCGCUGCUUCUCCCCAGGCGCCGCCCAAGCCCGACGCGCCGCCCCCCUGUUUCCCCGCCAGCGCCGCCGCCAGGGCCGCGCGCCGCGUUCCCCUAGGCGUCGCCGCUUCCUCGCCGCUGUCCCUUGCCCGGACCGCGCCGCCGCGCCCCAGGCGCACCCGCUGCCUCCUUCGGUCCCGCGGUACCCCUCCCCCGGCACCGCGCUCCCUGGCCCCGCGUUCCCCGGCGUCAUAGGGACCGGCAGCGGCCUCGCCCGCCGCAUCCUGCUCCUCGGCACCGACGGGCGCUCACCUGCGCACGACCGUCGAGCUGCGGAGCGUGCGCUUCGGCUUCCUUGGACCGCUCGCACUCGCACUCGGCCUCCUCGGCAUCCACGGCCACGGCCUCUCGCUCCCGUCCCCGUCUCGCCUCCUCCCUGCUCAUCUCCCACCUCCAGUCCCGCUUCCCCUCUGUCUGUCAGCCGCGGCAGGCUCGCCUCACCCGGCUUCCUGCUUAUCGCCACCGCUUGGGCCGGCCCUCUCCGCUCGAAAUAACUGUAAUUUAAUUACCUAGCGAAUAUCGGGUAAAUUGGCAUCCAUGAGCCAGGACUGGUCAAGGAGUAUAUAACAUUAAUUUUCUUUCUGAAUAGAGUAACAAUGCCAUAAACUUAAUACUAUGCAUUUAUAUAUUGAAUAACUAGAUAUGUACCCGUGUGUUGCCACGAGAGUUAAAAAUUAGUAUAAAACAUAAUUUUAGAGGAAUCAUACAUGAAUCAGUUCGUUUUCACAGGAAAAACGCAAGAAAGGGGGAAAAUUCCUCCAGUCCAAAUGAGCCCUUAAAAUAAUUAAUUACUCACUUAGGUCACUAUCAACCAUUUUGCAUAAGGGAAAUUGCACAAUCAUACUACAAGAGAUCGAGCAGAAUGCUACUUACGAACAAUGAAACUGUUUUACAAGUGAUUGAGCAUACUACUAAUUUCUGAAUAGUGUAUGCACCUCAACGCAACAAUCAAUCCUAACCUGGUAGCCAAGCUCUCGCUAAGGCACCACACUAACAAGCAUCAGUCACCAUGAGAGGAGAAUUGACAAAAGCGAGAGAGACCGAGAAGCAGGCAGGGAAAUCGUACCUUCUAGGCCUUGUUCGAUCCACGAGCUGUCGCAGCUUCUCACUCUGGCGGUGCUAGAGCACGUCCAGCCGGUGCACGCGCGAACCGCUCGACACCCAUGAUCUUGCGCAGUGCACAACAUACCUGACUUGCGAACUACCAACGAGAAUAGAAUAGUUGGAUCAAUUGACAAUUAAGGAAAACCCAGUAGAAUAUAUGGAUAAUUAAGGAAACCCCAUCAUAGAUAACAAUUGCAAUAGGAAUUUAUUUCCCAAAUGACAACCAUUCUAGUUAUCUAGCAGAGAACAUCUUUUGAGCCACGGGCAUUAAGGAACAACAACAAGAACAGAAUAAAUCAAUUCACAUUCUAGUUAUCAAAUAGAGAACAUUGUUUUUUGAACCACAAACACCCAGUAGAAUAGAUGGAUAAUUAAGGAAAACCCAUCAUAGAGAACAAUUGCAAUAGGAGUUGAUUUCCCAAAUGACAACCAUUCUAGUUACCUAACAGAGAACAUCUUUUGAGCUAUAUGCAUUAAGGAACUACAGCAAGAACAAAGUAAAUCACUUCACAUUCCAGUUAUUAAAUAGAGAACAUUGAUUUUUGAACAACAAGCAUUAGGAAAUAUCAUCAGCAAAGAACAUAUUAAAUUGCUUCACAUCACAUGAGGCACAUAGGGCACAUUUGGAUUGCAGCCUCCCAGGCAGAUGCCUGCCAGGCAUUCCAUCGUAGCCCUCAGGCGUCCAAAAUCAAUGGCUUGGGACGCUGUCUGGGCCUGACAGAUCCGUUGAGGACCAAACCAAACAGGCCCAUAGUGCAUAAGCAUGUUUUCUAUCCCAGACUUCAAUGUGACAGAUGAACUUGGACAGCCGCUACAGACACCUUGCAUUUUAAGCUUAAUUGUUCCUAUUUCUUUGAAAGGAUAGUGUUCUAGUGAGGCAAGGAAACCAAAAUCUUCAUAUCAGCAACAAGACCACACACAACGGGAGGAAGGGAAAGACACACAGAUCGAAUAUUCAAUGUCACCACUUUCAUCUUGAAUAGUUGGUCGAAUGAGUCUCCAACAAUUUUUUUUAUCAUGGCAACUAUUUUUGAAUCAUCCUAGGGGGAAACAGUAAAGAAAUAUUGUGGGCACUGGCUUGGAAACAGUGUGCUGGUCACAAUUUCUACAAAAGUUUGUAAUUGCCUCGACCUGGUGUUGAUGGGUGCGCACCGGAUUUUGUCUACAACUGCAGCAGAGGGUCUCAGAAAGAACACAUGUGACACCAAGCAUGCUGACUGGUCCCUACACAAAGUAGUCUUGCCACACAAUAGUGAUGAAUUCGCAUGCAAGGGAGUCAUCCUCUCUUUGCUUCCCAACAUCGCCGUUCCCUUGAUAUGCCAGUAUACUUUUUGCGGGAGUGGUGCAAACAGGUCUGCAGUAAUCAACAGAAAAGAUAAUGAGAAUAAUUUGGAGAAUAUACUUGCUCUACCAAGCUCUACCAAAUCCAUUCCACGGAGCUAGGGGUCCUCUAUUGGGGAGCAUGUAGAAUGAUCAUCGUUGACCCAACAAUGCAGAGAUCAUAGCCCAGCACGCCCAUCCGAUGCAACUUGCAACUUCUCAUUCAGUGUGAAAUGUGCUAGAACAGCACUGCACACAUAACAAAACUCAUCAGAAACAUAAAAAAACACCUGAGGCAUCCACCACUAUACCUCACAAUAAUGCUGAGUGCGCCCAGUGGCGUGCCGAGGAUCGCUGGUACAAACAUGUGAGCGAUGAAAUUUGCAAUCUCCCCAACAAGCACUCCUAAAUUUCAUUUUAUGGUAAAAUUCCAGCACACUCUUGGGCUUUGGCAAUUGUCAUAUAAUUAUGAUGCUAGUGGGGAAUCUGGCGCGGCUUCAGAAUCGAAGAAGAACACUAGGAAUGAAGUCGUAAAGAAAUAGAUGAAUCCUAUCUGCCUAGGCGUGGCAUCGCUGUCCCUCCUCUGCGCAGAGCUGGAGAUGCAGGAGAGCCCCUCCCGAACCACGUCAUUGACCCCGUCACGACCUCCGCUACAGCAAUAGCGUAGGGACAGCACAAUCCAUAAGAACCAUCCCGAGAUGGUGCCCACCUAGUGGAGCAUGUUGUCGCCCCAGGGAACGCCGACACGCCUGGGUCGUCGCCCAUCAACAGCGCCAACAGCUCCGAUUGCAGCCGCUGCACCACCGACUGACCAUUCGCGCCCUUCCCGGCCCCCGCUGAUGCCGACUUUGGUCCUGGUGCCGCCGUAGAUGCAGCAGAGACAUUCUAUGUCCCUAGUGAGGACACGGGGAGCGGGGGGUGACGGCGAAGUUUCGGGGCGCAGGGGCAGCGGUCGCGGCGCGGGCGAGAUUUCCAGGGGAAUCGCGGGUGGGGCGGCAUGGACGAACUCGGUGAAUGUCUGUCACGACGUGGGGAUCAGCGACAAUCUCGGGUGUGGGGUUUGUUUCAGAAGCCACUGACUCGUGACAGGGGAUUGGCG